rnacentral:tRNA from 1 species
GGAGUUAGUUAAAAUAUAACAUUAGAGUGUCAAUCUAAAAUAACUAAUAACUAGUACACCUUG